CGGAUUUCACAUGAGCGAUAGAGCAGUGCCGCUCAAUAAUAAGCAACAGGAAUACAAUCACGUAUCUAACACACGGGAGACACGGUAACGUCGUUUCUUUUCCUUCUCGUCGAGAAAGUGACAUCCCGAGUAAUAACGACAGGUGCACCGUUCAAAAUUUUCCGAAAACCCACACUUGGUACACAAGGUUACAAUUGCCGUCCUUUUUUAACGGUAUGGCCACACGAGUAACGAUAAGUCGCGAUUAGUAAUCCGUGCGGUUAAAUCGAGUUCCUCUGUCGGUUAAUUCCGGGCGCAUCGGCUCGCACGGAUUUAUCGCGACGAUUUAUCGUUACGUGUGCGGCCAUCUUAGAGUAUGAAAAAACUACCAGCUACCGAAAACCUCGGUUUGAAUAUCUGACCAUUUCCCGGGAUAUCGCGAUCGACGGAAACCUCGCAUCGAAGUAUUAGCUGGGAUUUUAGUCAACUUUGAUUGACGGAAAUACGGCUAAUUUGUCUUCAUUCUUAUGAUCUGUCGGAUCGCCGUUUUAACGCUGCGAUGGGCCGGCAAUGAUCCGUCGAUUAAAGGCCCUGGGAUGGAUUUUAGGUAACCGAAGGACCGACAGGGUGACAUUUAAAUGCCAUACAUUUUAUCGGCGUUUGAUAUCAACAUUUGCUCCCAUCUCUUGUUUAUUGGCAUCCGAUCCGGGGAAGCUCGAUCGGGAAACGGACUUUGUCGAUCCAUUUUUAAUGCGACGAGUCGAGGACGUCAUUUGUAAUGGAUUAUUGAUCCGUGACAUGGACGUCGAUGUAGAGGGUUCUGCGGGGUAACAGGUAUUGAUUUAAUGCGUUUGUAAUUGGAUAUCAUGCACUGGGCAUUCUAAUGCAAUACAUAGUUUUAACCGGCUCAUUAGUCGGCUUGCUGCGAUUACAUGUAUUACACGACCGAUGGGACACGAUCAACGAUCGAGGUCGAUUUUGAGAUUGAGCAUACGGGAUCCUUUAUUUAAGGCCCAUUCUCUCGGUGCACCAUGCAUUUUACAUGCGCCUACGAUACUUCCUCCCUCGGUGGCCUCAUACAUUAUUGCCGUGUAAUUGCACGGAACGGUCCACGAGUACUCCGGAGUACCCACACAAGAGAGGUCCUUUAUGAAGUUAUGCUCCAACUCGGGUACACGUAAAUACGCAUUAUACCGAGAUAACACGUAGGUAAACCCAC